UACGUAGGGGGCAAGCGUUGUCCGGAAUCAUUGGGCGUAAAGAGCGCGUAGGCGGUCCGGUAAGUCCGCUCUGAAAGUCCGGGGCUCAACCCCGGGAGGCGGGCGGAUACUGUCGGGCUAGAGUCCGGAAGAGGCGAGUGGAAUUCCGGGUGUAGCGGUGGAAUGCGUAGAGAUCCGGAAGAACACCGGUGGCGAAGGCGGCCCGCUGGGCUGUUGCUGACGCUGAGGCGCGACAGCGUGGGGAGCAAACAGG
rnacentral:rRNA from 1 species